CCUCCGAUAGCUCAGUUGGUAGAGCGGUGGACUGUAGACAUAGCUCAGACAUCCAUAGGUCGCUGGUUCGACUCCGGCUCGGAGGA
rnacentral:tRNA from 1 species